UCUCGAUAGCGUUAAAGUUAACUCAAAUUUGUAUAGAGUUGGAACGUUUGCCUACGUUUGCCGCUAGGGGCGCUGUUCAAACUGAAUACAAAUUUUAGUUAACUUUUACGCUAUCGA
rnacentral:pre_miRNA from 9 species